ACUCCUACGGGAGGCAGCAGUAGGGAAUCUUGGACAAUGGGCGAAAGCCUGAUCCAGCCAUGCCGCGUGUGUGAUGAAGGCCUUAGGGUUGUAAAGCACUUUCGCCAGGGAAGAUAAUGACGGUACCUGGAUAAGAAGCCCCGGCUAACUUCGUGCCAGCAGCCGCGGUAAUACGAAGGGGGCUAGCGUUGUUCGGAAUUACUGGGCGUAAAGCGCACGUAGGCGGCAUUCCAAGUUGGAGGUGAAAUCCCCGGGCUUAACCUGGGAACUGCCUCCAAAACUGGGAAGCUCGAGUCCGAGAGAGGUGAGUGGAAUUUCCAGUGUAGAGGUGAAAUUCGUAGAUAUUGGAAAGAACACCAGUGGCGAAGGCGGCUCACUGGCUCGGUACUGACGCUGAGGAGCGACAGCGUGGGGAGCAAACAGGAUUAGAUACCCUGGUAGUCCACGCCGUAAACUAUGGGUGCUAGUUGUCGGGCAGCUUGCUGUUCGGUGACGCAGCUAACGCAUUAAGCACCCCGCCUGGGGAGUACGGUCGCAAGAUUAAAACUCAAAGGAAAUUGACGGGG
rnacentral:rRNA from 1 species